UACGGAGGGGGGCUAGCGUUGUUCGGAAUUACUGGGCGUAAAGCGCACGUAGGCGGCUUUGUAAGUCAGAGGUGAAAUCCCGGGGCUCAACCCCGGAACUGCCUUUGAGACUGCAUCGCUUGAAUCCAGGAGAGGUGAGUGGAAUUCCGAGUGUAGAGGUGAAAUUCGUAGAUAUUCGGAAGAACACCAGUGGCGAAGGCGGCUCACUGGACUGGUAUUGACGCUGAGGUGCGAAAGCGUGGGGAGCAAACAGG
rnacentral:rRNA from 1 species